CUAUUACUAUUUCAUUGACAGCGACUCUUAGUCUGUGGUAAAGGCAUGGUGCAAUUGGUGCACGGUGCAGAUUGUGGAAAGCAUGCCAAAAGUCCGAAACCCUGAAAGCUUGUUAUAAACAAGAAAAUGUUAUCUCCGGAUCCGGUAAGACGUGAGCUGAUAGAAAGCGAUUAUAAAACGGAAUAUGUACCUUUCCGUCCUUUCACGAACACACGAGUUCGAAACGUUCUCAAGGAUUUCUGUUUUGUAGGAAAUAUUACCGACGUGGAUAAAGUGGCCAAGGUUCUUUUAUUGGGUUGUGGUGAUCUAAGAAAUACCUUUCAAGCAACAACUUCCAAGAAUCCUCAAAAGUUAGAGAUUCAUCUCAACGAUUUUCAUCCUUCUGUCUUGGCUCGAAAUAUCAUAAUUUUGAAAAUUGUCUCAGCAAGUGAUUUCAAUCCCGACAAUGAUGAAGAUUUUGGUUUUCUGUGGGAUGUGUGGUACAAUAUGGAUUGGCCAGAAGAAACCAGGAAGAGGUUUCUUUCUGUUGUGAAGGAGUUGUUGAAUGAGAAAUUACCAGAUAAUGUCUCAAUUCCAAACAAUAGUCACCUUGAAAAAUUGAAGAGUUUGUGGAGCAACUGGCAUAUUGUUUCCUCCAAAAACAAACCCGAUUCUGAAUCACUCUUGAGAAAAGUCUGGGGACAAAGGAAUCAGUGCUUGCUGGACUUGUGGGAUGUCAUGUAUCCAGGACUUUUACAAGAAAAAGCAGAACUAAACAAUGCUGAUCUCUUCGCUGCCUCACUAAAUGAACUGGUUAAGCAGUUUCAACUUCGUGAAGGGUUCAUAGGAUUUGCUCCUUUUGUUAAAAAAAAGAUUAGCAAUGAAGUGCUUGAAUACUACAGAAACGGCAGCAGCCACCUUAAAAAAAACCACAGCAAACCAGUGUGCGUCAACCCAACUUUGCUGAUCCCCAAGACCCAUGAUUGGAAAAUUUACUCCUUAUUUACUCCGUUUGAUAGUUAUCUGCCAAUGGAAAAAGGAGAGCUGAUUACUUCAGAUGAACAAAUCAUGACCCACUCCUGCUCCGAAAUACUCAAGAGGUUGGUGUCUUCCUAUCGCAGCCGGAUUCCAACAGUCAAAAUCGUUUUUCACUUAGAAGAAGCCUUAAAACAUUGCUACUCAGACGCAAACAAGUUUGACGUCAUCGACUGCUCUGGUUUCGUGAGUCGUGUUGGGUUAGCCAAUUUAGUUGUUGCAUGCUGCCAAAAGUUGUCGGACAACCCGAAUGCAAUUUUUUACACCACAAUAAUAACUGACAGUCAUCAUUCGGCUAACAAUAUCGUCGAGACAUCCCUUUGUGCUCCAUUGAGUAUGAUUCCGACUAUUUACGGGUUGAGAUUGGCUGACCAUGUUGAAUUAAGGGAUUCUGCCGUAGAUUACUUGCGUUGCAAUACCCAUCGAAAAAGACGCCCAGUGAUUCUUUGCUGGGAGAAAGUACCAAAAUUUCAGAACAUAAAAUUGGACCCUUCACCUGAUUUAAAUCGAUGCCUAACAAAGUUGGCCAAACUUUGUCAUCAAAUAACAUUACCAAAUCCUGUAUCUCCAACAAACAGUGACACAAACAGUGCUGGAAGUGAAAUCUACUACACUCCCCUAACAUUCAACUACAUUUUGGAUUCAAUGACCAAGCGGCUGGGACAUGAUUGUUGGUUACCAGAUAUACGUCAGCUUGAAAUUGCUCCCCAAUUCAUUCUGGCAAGAGAAACAUUGGAGGAUUGGAAGAAUGGGAAGAAAAUGAUGAAAUUGUCAGCUGUUAUUCAGUCCAUAGUGAUGUCUAAUGAAGAGCCUUCCCCUCUAAUUCGGCUAGUUUUGGUCCGGAAAGCUUCUUUUGUUCUUAGUCGUGACUUAUCCGGACCCGAUGUUCACUUCAUCGAAAAUUUUGAAUUUGAAUUCAAUCAUACUUCAAAAGGAAUAAAACUGGAGACUGUGUCGUUUUUACUGGCUUGUGAUCAUGGUUUCGAUGAAACGUACACUGCGAUUGUUGUCAAUGCUUUCAAUGGAAUGCCACUACUACUCUUAGAGUCUUUUAAAUCAAUGCGGGUAGAGGAAUAUCUUGUACCUUACCCGAUUGGUCAAAACAAACCUCAACUUCUACUGGAUCCUAAAAAUAAAAUGUACAUGAAGGUCGAAAGUUGUAUCGAGUCAGAAGAACAGUACACCCUUAGGAUUGCCAUUGAAUGUGAUGGAAACGUUUCAGGAUUGAAGAUAUCCACUAACGAGGAGGCCCCCUGCGAAUCCUGCCAUGACGUCACAGUUUCAUUGACUCAACCCAGCGAAAUCAAACCUUUGUCAUUAACAUUUCCAUUUCCGAUCCUUGCGAAUAAUGUUCAAGCAACGCUCCAUCCAAAUAGUCGACAUGUCGAUUUGUUGUUGAAGAAAUCCCUGCUGGAGCCCUGGCCGUGCGAGUUUCACAAUAAAAAGUCUAAAUGGAUAAUUGGCGAUUUAGUUCCCUGGAAAAACAAGCCACUCAACUCUGAAGAAAGAUGCAAGAAUGUGGAACACCAUCUGAGCAGUCAAUUUUUAUCGGAGGAAGUUAGUGUUGCCCAUUUUCGUGAUUCAAAGUGUUCUGCUUUGGAUAAAUUGCGUCUCAACCUUAUGAUAUUGGUGACCAGUGAUGCUGAAUUUGCCAGUUACGGUCGAAAUGACGAUUGUUACCUACUGAAACUCCAUCGGCCCCUUCUUACUUCCCCAACGGGAACCCCAAUUUUGCUGAUUACUGCUCUCAAUGGUAUCCUUUCGCGAAAACUUGGACAGAAUGUUUAUAUGAUUAAACCAACUGUGCCUAAAGAAAAAGAAACGGAUCAGCGUAAGAUUUUUGCGAAAGUUUUUCCACUUGGGACACCCAACAACAUUCAGAAGAAAAUGGAUGCCGAGAGCGAAGAAGAAUUUCAAUUGUUUCGUUUUCUCCUGCGUUUGAACUCCACUAGAAUCGUGCCCAGUAAAUGGCAGAAGAAGAAUAUUCCUCUAGGAGGUAGCAGUCCUUGGCUUGCUACUUUCCUUUCGCCUCUCUACCAGGAUUCCGUAUUGAAGAAAAGCAUCAAGGAAGAACCAGCUGACGAGAAGUGCUGUGCCGCUUGUAAGAAAAUCCCUGAGAAGUUGAAGUUUUGCAGUCGUUGCCGUUCCACUGUUUACUGCAGUGUCGAGUGUCAGCAUUCUCAUUGGCCAAUGCACAAACUCAUCUGCAAGAAAUUGUAAUUUGGUCGAAACUUAUCGCAGCUUAAUCCGUGAGUUAUUGAUUAGCCUGAAAUUUAAAAUCAAAAUUUGGUUAAUUAUUUGGAUGGCUUUAGUAGUUUAGUUCACGGAAAACUGUUGAUGUCUUGAUGCACAGUUGAAACUUUUUUGUAUUGAAUAACCAAGAUUACACUUUUUAUUACAUCAACUU
rnacentral:misc_RNA from 1 species